rnacentral:tRNA from 1 species
GCCGGCCUGCGCGAUCUGCCGGGCGUGACGCUGGUCGGCGGCGAGGACGUCAGCCGCCGGGAGGGCGUUGUCUCGUUCGACGUGGCGGGCCGGCC